UACUCUUUGUUGGGCCUGAACUCGUGCUU
rnacentral:piRNA from 1 species